CAAGAGCUUAAAGGAUUCCAGAACCAACAUCCUUGGAGUUUCAAAAUUUAUUAGGGUCUGGAUUUUUUUAGAUCCCUGAAACACUUUGGCUGAUGGAUUCUGGAGGCGGGAGGAUUCAAGAAACAAAGACCUAAAGGGUUUCUGGACAGAGAUGAUUAGAGGUUAAAGAUUUCGGGAAUCGUUGGACUGCUGAAGCAUUCUAGUAGUGGGGGGACUCUGAAAGUUGGGAGAUUGGUUUGAAAAAUUCAAGUUCCUCCUUCCGUGUUGCAGAGUGACGUCGGGGCGCAGAAGGGUUUGUUUGUUUCGUCCUCCUCCAUGAACGCUCUCACGCUCUGUCUGGUUCGUUGGAGGGAGGAGGUGACAGUCUGCUUCAUCCUUCUCCUCCUCCUCCUCCUCAUCCCCCUCCCUCCAUCACUGGUGGAGCCACUCUCCAUCUGUUUCUGUUUUCCCAUAUAUACUGCAGCCUCUCUCUCUCUGGUAGCACCACCUCUCUGUAUCUUUCUCUUCUCUCUUCCUCUUUUCUCUCCAUUUCCCCUUCCUGCCUCUCCCAUCUCUUUUCUCUCUGCAUUCAGUCUAUGCAUCUGAGCUCAGCAGAAGACGCGACACCGGAUGAAUGUCAAUGAAUGACUGUUAAGGAAAAAUAGAAGCUGUUCUUAGUUUGAGAGUGCAAAAAACAAAAACACUUUCUAUCAGCGCUCAUCUCCUGCCUUGUUUCUUUCUUGCUCUCUUGAUUUUUUAAAAAUAUUUUUCUUUCAUAUCCGUGCAACAUGGAAUUACCAUGGAUGAGUGAGCAAGCGGAUGAAUGGGUGGUAUCUGUGCACAAACAUGGGAACAGGAGAGGUUUGAAUCUGUUUUUGCAUAAUGGAGCUCAACUUGUGGAUCAGUUCUGGAUCGCUGUGUGGAUGGUCGGAUCGUGGUUCGGCUCUAACACCUGACUUUACCCCAUGCAUGGAUGGACCGUUAAUGGAGGAGGGAACCUUUCAUGUCCUGACUCCCAGUCGGCAAACUGUCCCUCGGUGCUAUUGAGUCUGAGCUCCCCCUAGUGGACGGAAAAGGAGGAACCACACAUACAGAAACAGCAGAAGAGUGAGGAAAAAAAACUCCUUCACACAUCUUCUCUUCCCCACGACAGUCCUUCUUCAGGAGGAGAAGUCAGGAAGAGGGAGGAAGGAGGGGAGACGAGGAGCAGAGGUUUGGUUCUGCUGAAUGUGGGGAUUACCACGCUAAAAUUUCUACAUACGCCGUCAUCUUUUCCUUCACCUCCUCUCUCCCUUCAUCUCAGCUGUCCUGUGAGUCACACGAGUAAUCACGUUAAAAGCUUUUCCCUCUCGUUCACUCUCUCUUUCGCUUCCCAACGAAUUAAUAAAAGGUAUGAGAAUGCAAGAAAAGAUGAGGCACCGCGAUAGCCCGCUAAUUAAUUUGCUCUGAUUUUACAGUCAGCAGAUAACAAACAGCCAAACCUGUUGCUAGGAAACACAAAUAAAAAGCAGUGGAAAAAAGUUAGCAUUUGGAGUUCAGGCGAGGAUAGUUUCCUCCUGAAGCCAGCAGAGAGAUCCGAGUUUAUCUGAGUAAACUAAACAAAAGUUAGUUUUCUGUUUACCGCAAUUUGUAAAGUUUAAUGAGACCAGCGCAAACAAAAAUACAACAACAACUCAUGUCAGUGCUUGGAAAAGACUCACAAACAUAAAGCUUCAGUUUGUAGUGAAAUCUGCUGUUUUAAGCAUAUUUCCAUCUGACAUCUUUGAUUUAAUGCCCAAUAACGUCUCAUGUAAAUGUUGUUAAUGGCUUAAGUCCAAGAGGACACUCGUAAUAUUAAUUAUUAUUAACUUUAUAAGCUUAAACUACCCUCUUAUUUAACUAUAAACCAUAAAAAAUGGAGUACAGUGAAUAGACAGUUGUCUUGCCCACAAGCGAAAAGAUUUUUUAUGUACAAAAAAGAGAAUAGAAAGAUAUUUUAUUAAAUGCAAAACAACAGUAGCACUUAUAGCCUUCUAAUUUCAUAUAUCUGUAGCUUAUUCGCAGCGGUGGAAGAAAAAUUCAGUUUCACAGUUUACAAAAACCUUAGUUAAGUAUUGCAAAAUGUACUUAAAGUACAAAAGUGCUGUUUACACACCAGCAUAGACUCUGUUUCUGUUUUAUUUUUAUAUCUUUAUAUAAAUAAUAUUUGAUUAUUAUUACUGACAGAUUAAAAAUGCAAGCAGCAUUUAAAUAUUGUGAGACAGCAGUUUUUAUUCAUGUUUUUACUGUCCGUUGGUUUAAUUUACUCUAUAAUAAGUCUUUAUAUUUCAUACUAUUCAUCAUAUCCUGAAUCUGUAAAGUAACUAAAGCUUUCAGGAAAAUGUAGUAGAGUAAAAAGUACAAUAUUUCACUCUGGUGUACAAAAUACUCAAGUAAAGUACCUCAGAACUGUAUAAUGCUUGAGUAAAUUACUUUAGUCCACUGCUUUUUAGCUGCCGUUCCUCUUGAAACCUACAUUUGCAUGAUUUAGUUACUUUUGGUUUGUGUGUUCAAGGUGUUGACGCUGGCGUCACACACCAGGAAGCAGGGAGGGGUUAAAAUAAAAAUAAUUAGUGAAACUGGAGGAUGUAAAAACAUGCCAGUAAACACAAUAGAGUUGUGUUGAAACCAUUUGCACAACUUUACAAAUCUGAAUUUUGAAUUUAUAGAAAAAAAAAUUACGCUGCAAAAUGAAGUUGCAUUUCCUCAAAUGGCCUCUUGAGGGUGUUUUCAAAAGCGAGUCAGUCCCGAUACAACGCCGUGUUAAAAUAUCAAGUCUAACAGCAGAAAUAAAUGUGUUCACUGUCUGGUUUUGGUCCGUUUAGCAGAUUUUUCUACUCAUGACAACUGUACGGCAGGUAGAUUUCUACAACUCACCCAUUUGACUUGUAUUAAUGCUUAAAAUGAGGCAUAAUGAGGGGCUUUUAGUAGUGGCCGUCCAAUCUAUUUGGCUUCCUGAUUGGUCAUCAGUUUUUACCAAAGCAAGCUAGCAGUCAGAGCUGCAUAUAAAAGAUGGAUGUAGCCACUGUUUGUCAUUAGAUGACUCAAAUAAAUUAAACACACCCUGUUUGAUCGUCUAUUUUCCUCUAAAUGGAACCAUAAUUUACAAAAUUAAUACCAUUCUCCAUUGACGGGGCCAUAAACUCGUUAAGAAAAUGCUAAUGGAGGCAGCAAAUCAAGUGAGAAGUUGGUUCAUUUUCCCAUAGAGUUCAGAGGAGUCGCCCCCUGCUGGCUGUUAGAAAGAAUGAAAGAUUAAAGCACUUUAAGGCUGCAUCCAUCUUUUAUUCACAGCUUAUCGUCAGAAAUUAAUCAAUUUAAGCAAAAAAUACUGCUUCAGGUGUCUGCACUUGAAUGCAGAAUGUAAUUUUCCGACAGUUUGGAUAUUUUGGCUGUAGCUCUGAUAUUUUCAAUCACUUUUUUAGUUGUUCUGAUGAUUAGUAAGCUGCGACAACUUUUCACUGCCCCGUUUUAAACUCGACGAGAGAGUGACCGAGUGUGAAAAAGCGGCGGCAAGGCAACGUGGCUGCAGAUUUGGGCCAAAGUCUUUCUUGAGUUUGCUUCAGGAGAAGCAUCAGAUGGGUUGAGGUUUACUGGACACACACACAAAAAAACUACUAAACCCCACCCGUCUGCUGCUCUCUGCAAAGUAAAACAAACACCCCCCAAACCCCUGGCUGCACCUGGGAGGCUGUACAGGCAGCUUCUAAAGACACAGAGAUGAUAAUUAGAGAGACAUAGAGAAAGAGAGACAGACAGAGUUAUUGGAAUUAUUCUAUUUUUGUUAUUCCUCAUUGGGAAAAGACAUAUUUAAAGGAAUAUUCCGUGUAUGUAUUGAAUAACCCCCCCGUUUUCCCACCCCCAUCCAGUGGUGUGAUCUGUAGCUGCGAGGUGGCGUCUCACACUCCCCCUGCAGCUCUGCAAUGCCAAUGUGAUGAAAUUAUUAUUAUAUCAUUAUAAAUAAAUUAUUUUUCUUGCUUAAAAA
ensembl:lncRNA